ensembl:lncRNA
AUCUUCUUCUUUUUUUUGUGUUUUGAAUGGAUCCGUUAAAAUGGCGCAUUUGUUGUUUUUGAGGAAGAGAAACCAAGACGCAAAUAAUUGGCUGUGCGCCUCUGAUGGCCACAUGCUGGCUGCUCUACAUACAGAGUGUUUGUGUUGCGGUUGUGUGAAUGUUAUUAUUGCUACAUUCUAUAGAGAGAGAGAGAGAGAGGGGGAAAACUCACACGAGCAGCAUUACAUAAUCAUCAAAUCAUGCAUUCCAAAUUGGCUUCGGACUACUGUGCUUCUGCGUGUGUGUUGAUGUGUGUGUCUGCGUGUGUGUUGAUGUCUACGUGUGUGUUGAUGUAUGUGUGUCUCUGUAAGACUUCCUGUUUCUACUGUAAAUCCAUUGUUGAAUGAAUUAUCAAUGUCCUUGUUGCAAGGAGGGACAUAGAACAGAACACAUGCGUGUGUGUGGGUGGGCGGAUGCAAUGUGUGUGUCUGUGUGCCUGUGUGUGUCUCUGUAAGACAUACAAGCACAUGUGUGUGUGUAUGUGGGUGGGUGGGCCAGGGGAUCUGACGUGGGUGGAAAGUGUGUGUGGGUGUGUGCCGUAAAACAUCUGCAUCUCUUUGUCGCUCUUAUCUGCACAUCCACUCUGUCGUUGAAUGAAUUUGCAACAUCAUUGUCGAAAGGGGGCUGUGUCCUCUCGGUGUGUGUCUUUGAGUGUGUGCAUCUCACUGUCACUUAUUUAAUUAUUUAUUACGGAACCCCAUUUGUGACCAUGGCUCGGUGGGUCUGUUUGUUUUGGACGCGGUUUAUUAAAUGAAGUAUUUUAUCACCUUCCUCCUGCGAGCUGAAACCAUAACGCUAAUGCACCUCGGAAUCCAUACGGGCCCUCGUAACUCCGGAACGUUCUGCUGGUUAUCGCUGUGCAGCGAGCACACACACACACACACACACACACACACACACACACACACACACACACACACACACACACACACACACACACACACACACACACACACACACACACACACAUGCACAAACACGCAUGCACACAGACAGAGAUAGACACACACACACAAACA